rnacentral:rRNA from 1 species
AACGAACGCUGGCGGCAUGCCUAACACAUGCAAGUCGAACGAGACCUUCGGGUCUAGUGGCGCACGGGUGCGUCACGCGUGGGAACCUGCCCUUAGGUUCGGAAUAACUCCCCGACAGGGGUGCUAAUACCGGAUAAUGUCUUCGGACCACAGAUUUAUCGCCCUUGUAUGGGCCCGCGUUGGAUUAGCUAGUUGGUAGGGUAAAAGCCUACCAAGGCGACGAUCCAUAGCUGGUCUGAGAGGAUGAUCAGCCACACUGGGACUGAGACACGGCCCAGACUCCUACGGGAGGCAGCAGUGGGGAAUAUUGGACAAUGGGCGAAAGCCUGAUCCAGCAAUGCCGCGUGAGUGAUGAAGGCCUUAGGGUUGUAAAGCUCUUUUACCCGGGAUGAUAAUGACAGUACCGGGAGAAUAAGCUCCGGCUAACUCCGUG